UGGGGAAUAUUGCACAAUGGGCGGAAGCCUGAUGCAGCGACGCCGCGUGAGGGAUGAAGGCCUUCGGGUUGUAAACCUCUUUCAGCAGGGACGAAGCGUGAGUGACGGUACCUGCAGAAGAAGCACCGGCUAACUACGUGCCAGCAGCCGCGGUAAUACGUAGGGUGCGAGCGUUGUCCGGAAUUACUGGGCGUAAAGAGUUCGUAGGCGGUUUGUCGCGUCGUUUGUGAAAACCCCGGGGGCUCAACUUCGGGCUUGCAGGCGAUACGGGCAGACUUGAGUGUUUCAGGGGAGACUGGAAUUCCUGGUGUAGCGGUGAAAUGCGCAGAUAUCAGGAGGAACACCGGUGGCGAAGGCGGGUCUCUGGGAAACAACUGACGCUGAGGAACGAAAGCGUGGGUAGCAAACA
rnacentral:rRNA from 1 species